CAACUACAGCACCAACAAGGCUUUGACCUAACUUCCAUGAGAGAGUGGUACACAACCGACCCGAGCUCAUUCGGACCUUUUCGGGAUGGCGGAUUUAGAGGCGAAAGUUUCCUCCAUUUUGGAGGAACUUAUAAACGCAGCCGUGUCGGAAAUGUCAAACAAUCCCGACGGCUGGAACUCAUCUGGAGCGUCUCCGCGUGAGAUCCAGCUCCAGCUCUUCCUGGCGCCUUUGGCUCGAGAAGCUGCAGAGAAGAUCAACCAGCUUUUCCUGGAGUCUUCCUCCGAUCUGCAGCAGCAAGUGUCUCAGGGGGCGG